rnacentral:piRNA from 1 species
UGUCUCAGGGUGGCAGCUGAAGGAA